UGGCGGCAGGCCUAACACAUGCAAGUCGAGCGGUAACAUUUCUAGCUUGCUAGAAGAUGACGAGCGGCGACGGGUGAGUAACGCGUAGAAAUCUACCUAGUAGUGGGGGAUAGCCCAGAGAAAUUUGGAUUAAUACCGCAUACGCCUACGGGGGAAAGCGGGGGAUCUUCGGACCUCGUGCUAUUAGAUGAGUCUGCGUCGGAUUAGCUUGUUGGUGAGGUAAUGGCUCACCAAGGCGACGAUCCGUAGCUGGUCUGAGAGGAUGACCAGCCACACUGGAACUGAGACACGGUCCAGACUCCUACGGGAGGCAGCAGUGGGGAAUAUUGCACAAUGGGCGCAAGCCUGAUGCAGCCAUGCCGCGUGUGUGAAGAAGGCCUUAGGGUUGUAAAGCACUUUCAGCAGUGAGGAAAGGGGUGUCGUUAAUAGCGCCAUCCUGUGACGUUAACUGCAGAAGAAGGACCGGCUAACUCCGUG
rnacentral:rRNA from 1 species